UCCACACAGAAACGGUAAGUCCCAUCGGGUUUAGGUACUAAAACAACAGGUGACGACCAUGACGAACAUGAAGGUUCGAUGAUGUUGUCCUUCAGCAUCUGGUCGACUUGAUCUUCUAUAAUCUUUUUCUUUAGGGGUGAUACUCGGUACGCUCUGGAUCUAAAUGGGGUGUCGUCAGAUAAAGUGAUUCUGUGUCUCUCUAAUGCUGUUUUGCCCAAGAUGUUGGAGGUGGUGCGGGGCCAAGCGGCCAUUAGUUUCAGCAGCUCCUCUUCGUUGUCGGUGUCCCAUGAUGUCACACUUUUUGUGUUUUCCUCCGCACAUAGGAGAUCAUCAGGAGUCACCGCCCGUACUCCCCGCGUGCGACGUCCAAGGUGGCUCCUGUGGCUUUUAAGAAGUCCAGCCCCACGAUCAGAGGGAAAGCCAGCCAUAACAAACUUCUGAGGAGAAGGAACAUCACACCUGACUUCCUGUUCGCAGAGCUGCCUCCAUAGAUGUUCCCUCA